rnacentral:lncRNA from 1 species
GCUCAUUUGCGAAAGCAGCAUUUAGCAAAGAGUUAAGAAUAGUAAAACAGUAGAUUAAUUAAUCCGAAAUUUUAAACAACACUGAACAGCACACCCAUGCUGUACAGGCCCAACCAUCCUGAACAACCAUACCCGGCUGAACAGAUCUAACUCCAAACCAGAAGCUAAGCAAAUUAUUACCAGUUAAUCAUCAAUAAUCAUUGUGAAAGGUGUGAGACUAAUCACGAAAAACAUUGCUCAACUCGCCCAUAACCGCGGGCACGGCUAUUCGAAUAGUUUUACUCUGGCCAGAGGUGUACCACUGUACCCACAAGACACGAUUCCACACAUGUUGCCAUGCCCCGAAAUACCACCACGGCAUUGCAAAGGGGGAAAUCGUGACAAUACCCUUUGCACAACACAACUCAAAACAGUGCACCGUUCCUGGAUCAUAAUCACCCCCUUAUAAACAAGGCAUGGACUCCCCAGCGACCCCCAUGGACUUCUCGCCACUUCUCAGUCUGGCGCACUAUAAUGAAUCAUGCUAUACAAAGGAUAAAGCCGUUGCCCACGCUGGCUUGUGGUUGGCACGAUAAAUGUUUCACAACAGUAGCUCGCGAACCGGUCCUUAAUUGCCAUGAGCACGACCUUCAAAACCAUGUGCUCACAACCCACCAUUAAUCAUAUUUUAAUUACCAAUUAAUUAUCAUAACACGAUUAACCAGCGUGAGCUACCAUUAAAUAUAACCAUAAAUAAUAAUGUGGUAUAUAUGAUUCAUCCCAUUAGUGAGCUAAUGUUUCUAAGCUUUGCUAAGCAAUUAUAUAUAUAACAUUUAGCUGAACCAAACCAAUACAUAAGGUUCAAGCUAAUCAAUUUAUUACCCAAGGUAUCAAGGAAUAGGAUAUUCAAUGCAAAUUGGCCAUAACAAAGGAAUUGGUUCACACCACCCGGUGACAUUCGAAAAUAAAUGCACAGUUGAAAUAAAUAGAGAAUUUAAAUAUAGGAUCAACAUGCUCAAAGGAUUGUGUUUAGGAUCUGUGUGACUUGCCUUGCAAUAAUCGGUCUUCAAUUAAUCUUCUUGAUCACUUCCGACGCACUCACGAACCUUCGCAACGACGGAAACGACAAGCUAACACGCAAAACGAAGAAAAAGACUAAUAAAAACCAAAUAAACAGUACAUAAAAAGUAAACAAACAUGUAAAUCAUAAUUUUAGAUGAAUUAUGAGACUUGAACGGCCUCAUUCUGACUUCACAUGAAUUUAUUAUGAAUUUUACAAGAUUAAAUCUAAUUAAAGCCCAUUUAAAAAGAAUUAAAUAAAUUUAAUUCAAUUUAUGGACAAUUUUAAUAUGUAGAUCUUUAUUUUAGAAAAAUUUAGCAACUUGAACCACCUGAAACGGAUCUACGGUUAUUUAGUUAUGAUUUUCCGAAGAUUUAAUCUAUUAGAAAAACGGGAAAAAGAAAAACCGAUGACGUCAGCAUGACGUCAUCCAUGGCAGCCACAGCACGGGUGGCGACCUCGCCGGAGCUAGGGUGGUCGGCCGGGAUUUUGGAGGACACCUACGCGAAGAGAACGACGAGACGAACCCGAUGGUACUCACCACAACGGCAAACAACGCACGACGACGGCCGGCGACGAGGAGGACGACGGCGGUGGCUCGGGUUGCGCGGCGACGGCGAGCUCCGGUGGUCGGCGACGAAGGAGAGGUGGCGGCCGAGCUUCCCCACACCACGGCGCACCUAAAGGCGACGGCGGCAAGCGGCUGCGACGGCGGAGGCGGCUGCGCGACGUCGCCGGAGUUCGGCCGGCGGCGGCGGCGGACUAAGCGGCGUCGACGGCGAGCUACGAGGCACGAGAGACCACGGGAGAGGGGGCAAACGAAAGAGGAGGACUAGGGGGUCCUAUUUAUAGCCUUGGAUUGAAGAGAUCGGACUCCAAACGAGAGGAAUCGAAGCCGGAAAAUCAAAAACUCGGUUUUAGAGAUAAACUCGAAAACGAGUUUGAUUCGGAUAAAAUACCCAACGAUUUGCUCCGAUUCUUGGGGGAAAAGAUAGAGGAGGAUGAGAGGAUCAAAACCCCUCAAAAAUCCGGAAGAAACGGGGUCGGAUUGGAGCGGAUUUGGAGGCGGAAAGGCGACGCGGCGCGCAGCUCGGGCUCUGUCCAGACUGCAGGCUGAAGGUUAGGGACGACACUGUAGCAGGGAGGCAAAACAGACUUCUCCUGAGCUUCCUUUUUUUCUUGCUUGGGCCGACUGAGAGAGAGGGAGAUAAAACAGACUUUGGAGAGAGAGAAGAGGGGAGGCCGGCUGCUGCAGCUGGGCCGAUUGGGCUGCGCGGGAGAGAGAGAGAGAUGUUGGGCCGGAAUCGGCCCAACGACUUAGGGAAGGAUUUAAAAACUUUUUCCAAUUAAAAUAAUCACUUAAAUGAUCUUUCAAUUGUUAAAAAUACUUCCAAUGCUCAAAUAAUUUGAAGAAAAAUCCUGAAAAUACUUGGACACUAAAAGUACUUAACAAAAUUAUAAUUAGACCAUUUAAUGAUUAAUUUAAUAUUUAAAUAAUUGCUGAACUGCUCUUUGUAUGAUUAAAAUUAGGAACUGAGCUCCGAAAAAUCCGAGAAAAUUCCAGAGAGUAUAAUUAACCAUGGAGAAUUUAAUAAAAAUUAAAUCCAUCCAUGCUUUAUAUUUAAGAAAUUUUAUUUCCCACAUUUAACUUCACUUGUAAAUUAGUGAACAUUUAAUAUAAAUUCUAAUAAUAAUUUAUUAAAUAAUUUAUAAGUCCUGAAACAAAAAUCAGGAUGUGACAAAUCUACCCCCCUUACAAAGAAUCUCGUCCCGAGAUUCGGAACGGCUAGAAAGAAAAAGGCAUAGGUAAACUGCAGUCUAUCUUAUUCCAUAACUCCGAUAAUUAUUCUAAGGCUUUAAAGAAAACUACUACUGCUUUGAAACUGGUGGCUGAGCUGUAACACUUGAAGACACAACCGGCACUGCAUUUGCUCCUGUGAGGACAAUGUUGUUGACUUGGCCUUGUGGCUGUUGACGCUUCGGCUUCGGACACUCUUUUACGAAGUGACCUGGCUCAUAACAAUUGAAACACACCCGCUGCUCCCUUCCAUUACUGUUAUUCUCCUGAGACUGAUCCUGCUGAACUGGUACCGGCUGAUUAGCUUGCUCGAUGUUAACUUCAUUGCUUUCAUUAGUCUCUGAUUUGAUCUCACCAGCGAUGUUCAACUGUUGCGACUGUCCUUGACCAGCGGAAAAAGAUUCACCAAUUUGGAGUGGCUUGAUACGCUGCCUCUGGCUACUAUCAUGUGCCUCCUGGAAAACAAUCCUUCCUCUCUUACGAUUGUCCAUCCUGUUCUUCUUGUCUUCCAGUCGAAUUGCUUUAUCAACCAGCUCCUGAAAAUCCUCAUAGUCAUGAGAGAUCAACAUAACUGUCAGCUCAUCCUUUAAGCCUUCCAAAAACUUCUCCUGCCUUUCCUCGUCAGUACGCACAUCUUCUGGAGCAUAGCGAGCUAGACGAUUGAACUCAUGAAGAUAUUCCGUCACGGUACGAUCCUUUUGCUUAAGUGCCCGGAACUCACGCUUCUUCAAAGCAACAACACCUGCAGGUAUGUGUGUCUUCUUGAAGGCUUCAGUGAACUCCGCCCAAGUGAUUGGUUGUCCUUCUGCUCUGUUCAUCCGGAAAUGAUCCCACCAUUCCGAUGCAGGUCCUUGCAACUGAUGUGAAGUGAAAACAACUUUCUCCUGAUCCGUGCACUGGAGCAGUUCCAACUUCUUCUCAAUAGUGUGCAGCCAAUCACCUGCUUCUACUGGGUUGGUAGUGCUAGAGAAGGUAGGCGGCUUCACACGAAGAAAAUCAGCUAACUUGUUCUGCGGCGGCGGAGGAUUGACAUUGUUGUUCCCUUGCUGGUUCUGCAUUUGUUGCACUAACAUGUUGAUCAAUUGGGUCUGUUGAGCCAGCACUUGAGCAAGGGUUGGGUUCUCUUCAUUGUUAUUGUUUCCACUUCCACUGGCGCGAGUGUUCACCAUCUGUUGCAGAUUAGAAAAGAUAGGAGGAGAGGGGUUACACUAAAGACAAGACCUUAACCAGUUUAACACUGAUCUGAUGUGUGUAGACCAUUAUAUUGUUCAAGUUGAUUAAGCAAGCAACCUAGUAUAGGUACACGCUCAUCACUGGACUACUCCAAUGACGGGAAUGCAACCAUACCUACACACAAAGCAAUCAACAGCGUUCUACCCUACUAACUAUUCUUCAAAGACACUUUGGCGGCAUAGGUUCUAAGGUAGGAUCCAAACUUCAUUCCAUCUUGACAUCUGGGCACUUCGUUUCUUCCUCGAUCCACUUGACUGACCUCCAUAAGUUGACCACAUCAGCAUCUUCUAGUUUCAACAACUAGUUUCAGAACUACUCAAGUUGAACGAGAGAGGAGAGUAGACAAUGAAACAAUUUGCAAAGAAUUCUAGAUAAGGAAGAAAGGAGAAAUUUUCACAAAUCAUGUUUUCGGAAAAUUAGUCCUUAAGGUUUGACCAUUUGGCUUAUCCUACAGUCGAGAUGGCUCUGAUACCAACUUGUCACGCCCGGAAAUUCACUAGCAAUUCCCGAACUUAUUUGUGCAUAAAAUCCUCGUCCAGGAAUCAGCCGAGGUACACAAACUGACAAUUUAAUAUACAAAUCCAUCAUAUUAACUAAACCGAUAAAUACUUACUUAAGAGGCACUUAGUCCUCACCAAGAAGAAAACUGCAGCGGAAAAAUAAAAUCUAGCGAAGCUCCGGCUUCACUCCCACAGGCAGCUCAACUGGGGUAUAAGCCAAACGUCUUCUCCUUCUGGAUCCUUUAUCUUCAACUGAGGUUUGAUGAUUAUUGCAAGAAUGAGCAUAUGACAUACUCAACAAGCCACACAGCAAAUAUGCAAGUGCACAAGGAUUCCAAAGGAUGGCAUAAUAUAGGCUCAUUUGCGAAAGCAGCAUUUAGCAAAGAGUUAAGAAUAGUAAAACAGUAGAUUAAUUAAUCCGAAAUUUUAAACAACACUGAACAGCACACCCAUGCUGUACAGGCCCAACCAUCCUGAACAACCAUACCCGGCUGAACAGAUCUAACUCCAAACCAGGAGCUAAGCAAAUUAUUACCAGUUAAUCAUCAAUAAUCAUUGUGAAAGGUGUGAGACUAAUCACGAAAAACAUUGCUCAACUCGCCCAUAACCGCGGGCACGGCUAUUCGAAUAGUUUUACUCUGGCCAGAGGUGUACCACUGUACCCACAAGACACGAUUCCACACAUGUUGCCAUGCCCCGAAAUACCACCACGGCAUUGCAAAGGGGGAAAUCGUGACAAUACCCUUUGCACAACACAACUCAAAACAGUGCACCGUUCCUGGAUCAUAAUCACCCCCUUAUAAACAAGGCAUGGACUCCCCAGCGACCCCCAUGGACUUCUCGCCACUUCUCAGUCUGGCGCACUAUAAUGAAUCAUGCUAUACAAAGGAUAAAGCCGUUGCCCACGCUGGCUUGUGGUUGGCACGAUAAAUGUUUCACAACAGUAGCUCGCGAACCGGUCCUUAAUUGCCAUGAGCACGACCUUCAAAACCAUGUGC